AGCUUUGUAUUCAUUAAUGAUAUAAAAUUGCAAAUUUUAAGGAGUAGAAAUUUCUAUUAAGGCUU
rnacentral:tRNA from 1 species